UAGUGAAGGUCCUUGGGUCUUCGUUGGGAUGCCCAAUUUUGUCAAGGCAUGGAACACCGAAACUAACACUGAGUUGAGUCUUAGUUGGCCUAUAGGAGAAGUUUAUGCAAUGGUUGUGGGCAACGGUUUGCUUUUUGCUGGUACGCAGGAUGGGUCUAUAUUGGCAUGGACAUUUAAUGCAGCUACCAACUGUUUUGAACCAGCUGCAUCACUUAA